GGCAAUAUGAGUUUUCAUACUUCAUAAUGAAUUAGCCAUUGGAACAUGAUUGAAUGAAAUAAAUAAGGAAGUCGUAUCAUAUUCAUAUAUAGGAACAAUCAAGUACAACAAUCAAAACCUUAGUACUAAUAAAAGGAGAACAAUGUCGAAACUGAAAUACAAGAACCACAACCAGUUCCAUAAACUAUGGAGAAAAGACCAUACAACCAAUAGAAGAAAUGAUAAAUUCAUAGGGGAUAUAUAUUGAUCUCGAUAUAGUGGUGUUGGAAUAUCUCAAGGACUAGUGGUUGAUGGGGGUGGAGAGAAGAAAGGAAUGGAUGGGAUAGUUGUAGGAAUAUUAAUGCUUGGAAUGGUUGGUAGUGAUGCCGGCAAAGGAGGAAGUGUCACCUUUGGGAUUGUAGGCAUUGUUGGCAAAAUUGGGAUCGUUGGUAGCGUAGGCAAAGGCAUAGUAGUUGGCAGUGGUGGUAAUGCUGCUGGUUUCGGAAGGGUUGGGAUUGCGGGUAAUGGUGGCAAUGCAACCUUGGGCAGAGAUGGAAUAGUAGGCAAUGUUGGUACUGCUGAAGUUUGUAGCAAAUGGCGAGCCGCAAGACUCACAUUUAUGCUUGAGAGUGAUAAUGCUACCACCAAUGUUAGGACAAUGCAAUGGUUAAAAGCAGCCAUUAGUUGUUUGAUAGGAGUCUGAAAGAAUUGGCCAACUUUUCCUUGAGUUUUGAGUGCUAGGUAAUUAAUGUUGUAUUUUGAGUUGGAAAGUUAGCAGUUUGUAAUGGGUAUUUAUAUGAAUUGUAAAAGGAAGGGUCUUUAGAGUUUGAUGAGAUGCAGUUAGGAAAAUGUGGAGAAAAUGCUUGUUAGCUCACCUUCUCAGCUAGACGAUCCCUCCAAAUUCUCAAAAAUCUUAGUUUAGCUAGACUACCAACCACUAUUCCAUCCAUCCUUUCUUUUCUCCACCCCCAUCAACCACUAGCCCUUGAGAUAUGACGGCAUUCUGUUUAGUUACUCCAAUUAAUAUACACCAUGGAUUUAUCAUUUCUUCCAUUGAUUGUGUGAGCUUAUCUCUAGAGAUUAUGGAACAGGUCUAAUUGGUUCCAAUUUGGAUUGUAUUUUCUGUUUUCACAUUGUUAAUUUCUCCAUUGCUAUUGUUUUUGUAUUAAAGUGUGGUUGUUGCAGUUGAUUUUUCCUAUGAAUACGAUUUCUAUUCCUUAUUUAUUUUGCUCAAGAACCGCUCUUAAAUUCGAUUACAAAGUCAUAUUCCACUUCAAAAUAAUAAAAACUAAUGUUUGUCAAAUGGAAUAAGACAUUGUGAUUAGUUUUUUGGGCACAAGUCAUAAAAGGAAUUUGUAUUUCUUGCAAAGAAACAGUUGAAUUCAAAAGGUUUGGAUUUUAAAAAAACACAUGCCCAAGAUAAGUUCUCAUGGUGAAUAGCUCCAUUGUCACCAUCUAACCAUACCACCAAUAUGCAGGAAGAAAUUAAACGAUGCCCAAUCAAGAAAACUUAUGCUGAAUCUAUUACUUUCCAAAGUAACGUUCAUGUCUUUCUGCAACAGCUCAACAUCUCCAUAUAUAUAUAUAUAUAUAUAUAUAUAUAUAUAUAUAUAUAUAUAUAUAUAUAUAUAUAUAUANNNNNNNNNNNNNNNNNNNNNNNNNNNNNNNNNNNNNNNNNNNNNNNNNNNNNNNNNNNNNNNNNNNNNNNNNNNNNNNNNNNNNNNNNNNNNNNNNNNNUGACAUGAAUCUUAUUGUAUUUGGAUUUAGUUAUUACUUAGAAUUUGUUUUGGUGUAAGAAAAUUAUCUUUUCUAAUUAUACUCAAUUUAGCAUUUCUAAUCUUAUUUGGUUAUGAAUUUUCCUAUGGCCUAUAAAUAUAUGUGUUUGGUUUUUGGAGUAGAUACAUUCAGAAACAUUCUAUGAAUUCUCAUAGUUCUCUUUCUUUAUCUUAUAUGUUGGGAACUUGUGACUCAUAAGAUAGAAGCCACUGGAAAAGGGGUUAGUGCGGGUAUGGUACAAAGUUAGUGCCAUGGUAGCGCGGGGCAUGCUGGGUCAAUCCAGUAAGGAGCGCGGCUGGGAGAGCUUCUGGGCAGGUAGCGCGGGCCGCGCUACGGUAAGCCUUGGAGCAGCGCGAGCCGCGCUGUUCGGCGGACACAAUUUUUUGGGUUGUUAAUUGGAAAGGGUAUUAUGGGUAAUUGACCAUAAUAUGAAGUAGGGUUAGAAUAUGAUUAGUAGGUAUAUAUACUAUCUAUUGUAAGUAUCCAAAUUGGGGAAUCACGAAAAUCUCUUGUGUUCUUCUUAAUUCUCUAUCGUUUGUGUGCGUGUGUGUGAUCUUAUAUUCUAACAUUAUACUAUUUAGAUAUUUAUUUAGUGGAUUUCUUCUGCAUUAUCCGUGAUAUUUUUUUGAUUUGUGUUUCCACGUAAAAUCUUGUGUUAUUUUUUUUUAAAAGUAAUUUUGUUGUGUGCGGUCAAACACUAAUUAACUUUGUCAAGAAAUCAUUGAAAUUUAGGUUUUUAACUAACAAAAAACACUUUUAUCUGGCCGCAAUCAGUCCAUGCCUGUAAGACCCCAAAUUAUUAUUAAUGAAAUUUAAUUUCCUCUAUUUAUUAUGUUUAAAUAGUAAGGGUUGAUUUGAUUAAUGUGGUUAGUUAUGGGUAAAAUGCGCAAAUAUUUCAAAUAAGCAAGUAGUUAUAAAAUAUUCAUUGUUGUCGGAGAAUAUUCGUUUGGUCGUGGAAUAUUCGUACUGUCGGGGAAUAUUCGUACGACGGCGCAGCCAUGUGUGGGCCCCAUAACGGAAAGCGAUUGGAUGAAGAAAACGACAAAUAUAAGUUGUUUAUAAAUAACGGCGUAGUUGUUACCGUUAAUACUGUUGGAAUACCCGGUGGUUAAAACACACUAAUACGCGUUGUUGAACAGUAGCACACGGUAUUGCACCAAUUAUUGAUUCUUACGUAAGAAGACAGUACUCAAUAAUUGUUAUAGUAAAUACUGUUCAAUAUUAUAUUUUAUUGAUUCAAUAAUUACUACGUUGAUAUUUUAUAUUAUUGUUGUUUUAAUAAUUGUCAAUACACAGUAUUUUCCAUUAUCGGAGCAAUAAUUCAUAUUAUCUGAAUAAUAUUAUUAGAUAACAUUAUUGGCAAUGUCUAGAAAGUUCUGUCUAAGGAGAGGUUUGGUCACCUAAUUGCGCGCCAGUAAGGAGAAAUUCUUAUUGGAAAGCCCCCUCUUUCCUGGGAACUGCCUGGUUGUCAAUAUUGUGAUUCUGUAAUAUUAUUUGUGAAUAAUUAAUUAUUGAUUCAUAUGAUGAGGAAAAUAUUGAUUUUAUGUGGAUAUAGAUGGAGAAAAUUUUUAAUGUGACAAUUGUUGAAAAUUGAAAUUUUAUCUUUUUCUGAUAAAAUAAUUCAUAUAUAUAUAUAUAUUAUUAUAUUUUAAUAAUAUAAUAAUGGUGAUAUUUUUACAACGAAUGUGGGAUAUAUGAGUAUACGAGGAGGAAGAGUAUUUUUGUUGCAAUAAAUGUUUAAAACAUGUUAAACAUGUCGGUGGACCCCAUUUCUUGACUGAAAUUUGAUUAUAGCCUGUAAAAUCGCCCGUUUGUGGAUUUCGGUCAAUUUCUGUUUGGAAUUUGGAAAAACUUUCUUCUGCAAAGUUGUAGAGAAUUGAAUUUCCUAUAAAAACUCGCGAGAUUCGAAUUUUCUGACAAAAGGGCUAUUUAUUGUGAAUUAUUGAAGUUCCGAAGCUCCGAAAUAAUUGAUUUUUGGAAGUUUAAAAUAUUUUAAAUAACAAAAACGUUUUUUUCAUUAUGGUGUGUUACACAUGUGUGUUGAAUGAGCUGAAUUCAGUUCUUGGAAGGUUGGCGUAGGAAAAUUUAAUAUAUAUAUUAAUAUUUUAUUAAAUUUUCUGCUUUGGUGUUCUAAGCAUUUUCCUAUAAAUAGGGUGCUUAGGUUAGAAUUGAAAAUCACACCAGAAACUGAAGUUUUCUCUCUCUAUAUUAUCGAGCGUAUUCUUGUGAGUAUUUUGAGUAUAUUUUGAGUAUUGCUAUACGGUGCAAGUUCAAGUCAUAGCCUAUAUCCGGUGUUUCAGCUAGAAGUACUGAUCUUUCGAGGUAAGGGAUAUUUUUUUUUUUCGUAAUGAUAUUAUUUCUUCAAUAUCAUUAUGCUGAAAUAUUGAUCUGAAGUUUUUAUCAAAUUUGGAACUUUUGGUGUCGGAGUUACUAUUCACGUAUACGGCACUAUUCACGUAUACGGUACUAUUCACGAAUACGGCACUAUUCAUCGAAAAAUGAAAAUUUUCCUUUUCGUCCAAAAUAUCUAUUGUGGAUACUAGCUUUGAUUGUAUCCAUGUUUUGAUCAUUCUUGAAUUUUACACCACUAUGAUUAUUUUUGAGGUAUUUUUGGACAUGGAUAAAACAAAGUACGAAUCCUUAAUCCUUAAUCCUUGUCAUUUUGUUUCACUGGAUUCGUUUCUUUAAAAAUAUUUUUCAUCAUCCUCAGUCUUAAAUGAUGAUAUUAUUGAAUAUCUUUGGCCUGUAGUGCAAAGAUGAAUGAUUUCUGAUGAAUAUCUUUGGCCCGUAGUGCAAAGAUGAACAGGUGUUUAGAUGAACAUGACCAACUGAUGAAUAUCUUUGGCCUGUAGUGCAAAGAUGAAUAUUUGAUUCCAGAUAUAUAUUGAUUGAUGUUACAGGGAUAAAAUAUCGACGAUGAACUUUUAAAUUCAUAUAUAGAAGAUAGUAGUUUGCAUUCUCUACUUAACUCUUCUAAUGAAUUAUUAUUUCCGCUGCGAGUAUUGAUUUAAAACUGGUUGUCUAUUGUAUUCUAUUAGAUUUUUCCCUGUUGAAGACUAACGAUAAUUUGUUGUAUAUUAUCUUAGUCAUAAUAUUCUUUACUGGGCUAGUUGAGCUCACCCUUUUCCUUUUUGUUCCAUUUUUCUUCUCAGGAGGCGAGAAUGUAGCGAGUACUAGUCGGGGUAUGGAAUGAAGGUUCUAGAGAGAGUUGUUUAGUAGUCCUCACCAUUUUUGUAAAAUAAUGUAUCAAUAAUUAUGAUGGGGAUUUAUUUGCGUGUGGAUAUUGUCUAGAUGGCAAUAUCUGUAUUUAAACUCACAGUUUAUAUGUUGUAAUAAUAAAGUUGUAGUUAUUUCUGUACCAUGUAUUUGACAACUCAAAAUGGGUGAUGUAUAUCUAUUUUGGGGGCGUCACAAUGCCGCUAUCACCAGGUAUAGGGGUGUAAACGAGUUGAAUCUCAGCGAACACCUUCCUGCUCAGAUUCGGUUCGACUUGAAAAAAUUGAGCUCGAAGUCGACUCGGAUUCGAUAAGGGAUUUAUAUUUUUGCGCCAGAUUCGACUCGGAUCAUUACUCGGACCUACUCAGCUCGUAAGUACUCGACUCGUUUACAAAGCGAGUUACUCAUGAGCCUUCAAAUCGAGUUUCGAAUAUGAACCAUUUCACUUAAAACUGAACCACUACAUACUAAAUUGGUUACUUAACUAAUAUUUAUAUAUAAAACUUUUCACUUUUAUUUAUGUAUUGGAAUUAUAAAGAAUAUAAUAAAAGUUGGCAUUAAAUUCAUUGAUUUAUUCAAGUACAAGUUUAUACAAUUUCAUACUACACCUUAUAAAUUACAAAGAUUGAUACAAAUAUCACAUAUUUAGCUUACUAACAUGGAUCAGACCAAUAUUCGAAUAUGAUCCAUCGAGCAGGUAUCGAGUAUGGUUCAAAAAAAAAUGAAAUACUCGAACCCUAAUUUGAGCGAACACUGGUAUGCUCGAAUUCGACUCGUGUAUCAUUAAACAGAAAACGAGUAUGAAUCAUAUUCGACUCGGAUCAACUUCGAAUUCGAGUUUUCGAUCAUAUUUUCGAGCCGAUCUCGAGUCGAGUACCGAACUACUUGGUUCGACUUACACCUAAGGCUGUAAACGAGCCAACACAGUUCGGGCUCGAUUCGGGCUCGACUCGAAAAAAUACGAGCGAGACUCGGAUUCGUUAAUAAUAUGAUCCAAAUUUGAGCAUUAAUAAUAGUUCGAAUAAAAAUAUGAGUAGAAUUUGAGCAAGGUUAUACUCGACUCGUUUAAGAUUCAAACUACUCGAAUUUUUGAUUGUGAUUCGAUACAUACUCGAUUAAUACAUAUUCGAUUAGAUGUUCGAUACAUUCUCUUAUAAUAUAUACAAAUUUAAAUCAAAUUAGGAUAAUUAGUUAUUAUUUUGUUUUGUUUUUAAUUUUAAUUGUGAUUUUAUAUUUGUAAAGUGUAAUAAUAAAUAUAUUUUCUCAUUUUUAAGUAAAAUAACAAAUUCAAUUUAUAAUUAUAUUUAUUAUAAAACUAAUUAUUAUGUGGAGACUCGAAUUCGAGCUUGAAUUUGAAGCUCGCGAGUAGUUUGAAUAAAUAUUCGAGUCGAGUCGGAUCGAAUCCGAGUAAUAAAUAUUCGAGUCGAGUCGAAUCUGAGUAGUAUUUUUCAAAUAUAAUUCGAAUUCGAGCCGAAUUUGAGUACGAAUUUAUCAUUUCGAGUCGAAUUCGAGUAGCUCUCUGUUCGCUCCGGUUCGACUCGUUUACACCCUUACUUACACCCCUAAUGAGGUAAUUCAACAAAUUUUUUCUUUACCAACUACUCCCUCUGUCCAAAAAAAAAUGUCUUUGAAGUACAAAUUUCACACAAAUUAAAAAAAUUAAAGAAACGGAGAACAUAAAAUAAGUACCAUAUUUGCCACAGUAGACUAGACCCCAUGCAAGUACACUAAAUAAGUUUUUGUGUUUUAAACUUGGUGGGCCCCACUUUAGUAUAUUUUUAAGUAAGACUAUAAAAUGAACAAAUAGUUCGAGCUCGAUUCGUAUUCGCUCGACUAAAAAUUCGAUUCGAGCUCGAUUCAUACUCGCUCGACUAAAAGUUCGAUUCGAGCUUGACUCGAAAUAUAAAUGAGUCAAAUAUGAACAAAUUUUCAAUUUCGAUAACUCGAACCUCUUCAAAUUACAAUCUUCUAUUGAUACGCGGAUCAUAUUCGAUCGAAAAGUUCAACUUGCUCUAGCUCAAUUCAAGAUUGUACUCGACUUGGUGGCUAAAUGAGUCUCAAUCAAACCUUAUUUUAUAGUCGAUAAAUUUUGUGAACCAAAUUUGAGUAACUUAAUAGUCGGUUCAACUCAGUUCAUUUACACCCUUAUUUUUAAGGAUAAACUAAUUUUUAGACUUAUUUUAUAUUUAACUUGUGUAGUUUUAGUUUUAGACAUGUUUUUAUACAAGGAUGGAGGGAGUAGUUGUUAGUAGUUUCCUGUUAGUACCAAUAUAAUCUUAUCACAAAUUUUGCCUUAAUUAGCAAUUGGUACAUGAUUGAAUGAAAUAAAUAUGGAAAUCAUAAUCACAUUCAUAUAUAGGAACAAUCAAGUACAACAAUCAAUAUCAAUACCUAGUACUAAUAAAAGGAGAGCAAUGUCGAAACUGAAAUACAAGUCAAAUUGGAACCACAACCAGUUCCUAUCCAACCAAUAGAAGAAAUGAUAAAUCCAUGGACUAGUGGUGUUGGAAUAUCUCAAGGACUAGUGGUUGAUGGGGGUGGAGAGACGAAUGGAAUGGAUGGGAUAGUUGUAGGAAUAUUAAUGCUUGGAAUGGUUGGUAGUGAUGCCGGCAAAGGAGGAAGUGUCACCUUUGGGAUUGCAGGCAUUGUUGGCAAAGUUGGGAUCGUUGGUAGCUUAGGCAAAGGCGUAGUAGUUGGCAAUGGUGGCAAUGCUGCUGGUUUGGGAAGGGUUGGGAUUGCGGGUAAUGGUGGCAAUGCAACCUUAGGCAGAGAUGGAAUAGUAGGCAAUGUUGGUACUGCUGAAGUUUGUAGCAAAUGGCGAGCCGCAAGACUCACAUCUAUGCUUGAGAGUGAUAAUGCU
rnacentral:lncRNA from 1 species